UACGAGGGGGGCGAGCGUUGUUCGGAAUUAUUGGGCGUAAAGCGUGCGCAGGCGGUUCGCUAAGACCGAUGUGAAAUCCCCGGGCUUAACCUGGGAACUGCAUUGGUGACUGGCGAGCUAGAGUGUGGCAGAGGGGGGUAGAAUUCCACGUGUAGCAGUGAAAUGCGUAGAGAUGUGGAGGAAUACCGAUGGCGAAGGCAGUCCCCUGGGCUAACACUGACGCUCAUGCACGAAAGCGUGGGGAGCAAACAGG
rnacentral:rRNA from 1 species